AUUGAACGCUGGCGGCAUGCCUUACACAUGCAAGUCGAACGGCAGCACGGGAGCAAUCCUGGUGGCGAGUGGCGAACGGGUGAGUAAAGUAUCGGAACGUGCCCAGUCGUGGGGGAUAACGUAGCGAAAGUUACGCUAAUACCGCAUACGAUCUAUGGAUGAAAGCGGGGGAGCGCAAGACCUCGCGCGAUUGGAGCGGCCGAUAGCAGAUUAGGUAGUUGGUGGGGUAAAGGCUCACCAAGCCGACGAUCUGUAGCUGGUCUGAGAGGACGACCAGCCACACUGGGACUGAGACACGGCCCAGACUCCUACGGGAGGCAGCAGUGGGGAAUUUUGGACAAUGGGCGAAAGCCUGAUCCAGCCAUGCCGCGUGCAGGAUGAAGGCCUUCGGGUUGUAAACUGCUUUUGUACGGAACGAAAAGGUUUGGCCUAAUAAGCUGAGCUCAUGACGGUACCGUAAGAAUAAGCACCGGCUAACUACGUGCCAGCCGCCGCAGUAA
rnacentral:rRNA from 1 species